GACAGAGGGUGCAAACGUUGUUCGGAAUUACUGGGCGUAAAGCGCGUGUAGGCUGCUUGGAAAGUCGGAUGUGAAAGCCCUGGGCUCAACCUAGGAAGUGCAUUCGAAACUUCGGAGCUCGAGUUCUGGAGAGGAAGGCGGAAUUCUCGGUGUAGAGGUGAAAUUCGUAGAUAUCGAGAGGAACACCGGUGGCGAAGGCGGCCUUCUGGACAGAGACUGACGCUGAGACGCGAAAGCGUGGGGAGCAAACAGGAUUAGAAACCCUCGUAGUCC
rnacentral:rRNA from 1 species